rnacentral:lncRNA from 1 species
AAGAAGUCAGGCCGGUUUAAGCCAUAGUACGGUAAGAGCUAUGCUGCCUGUGAGCCCCGUCCAAGGACGUAAAAUGAAGUCAGGCCGAAAGCCACGGCUUGAGCAAACCGUGCUGCCUGUGGCUCCAUCGUGGGGAUGUAAAAACCCGGGAGGCUGCAACCCAUGGAAGCUGUACGCAUGGGGUAGCAGACUAGUGGUUAGAGGAGACCCCUCCCAAAAUACAACGCAGCAGCGGGGCCCAACACCAGGGGAAGCUGUACCCUGGUGGUAAGGACUAGAG